rnacentral:lncRNA from 1 species
UCUCCCUCUCCCCCCCCCCCCCCCCCCAUUUUUAUGAGCAGUGAAGCAGUCGACUCUAUGAUUCCUUAUUCCUGUGGAUACACAGACUGAGACAGCCUGACUGAGGUCCAAUUUAUUCUUAUAAUCAGUGAAGCAGUCGACUCUACGGGUGGAUUUUGACAAGAUAGACGGGACAAGCAUUGGUGGGGAUGCUGCCUCUUCGGACACUGCAACACACAAAAUGACUACUGGAGUGCAAUUUGGAAACCAAUUGAUGCAGAAAUGUACAGUGGUCUGUGUGCCACAAUGAUUCAUCUUGGAAAAGGGAGGAAGCCAGACCCUCUGGAUGUUCCUGCUACCAACAAGAUUUUCGUAAUGCGUCACUUAGUUGGAGAACAAGGGAAAAUGAAAAGGAGUGGUUUCAGAAACUUUUUUCAAAACUCAUCUUUGACACCAUUUGUGUGGUCAGGAAGGUGUGAAUGUGGUGCAGAAAACACUGACUCUGGAAAGUGACAUUCUGUGUGGAUUUUUGCUGAGGCCACUGAAAGUGAACUGUGUCUUUUUUCCUGGAUGCUUGUGACAUUGACUGAACAAUGAAUAUUUUUAACCCCUUGUACUUGUUUAAUUAAGUUGGAAAUGAAAGCUUGACGUACGAAAAUGUUAUAGAUCUCAUUCAUUAUUUGUCCAAAGAGAGGCAGAUAGAUAAUGAGGUUAGUUUUUUGUACCUGUGUGGGUCAAAUUAAUUUGCAAUGUCUGCAUCAUAGUUGCAAAACUCAGAUCUUUUGUUUAUUGAAUACAACCAUAAUUUGCUAAAGGACACAAAAAAGAAAAAUAGUACAACUCCAACUGUUCAGGAGCUUUUAUCAAAGAAAAUUUUUAUGAACACAAACACAAUUGACGAACAGGCCGCUACUUCGAAAACAUAGCUACACAACCCCCCUGAUAUUGUUAACGCAAAUAUUAAGACAUGUCCAAAGCUGGUAAUUGAAUGCACUGAAUGCUGCCCGAUAAAAUAAAAUCUUUAGAAAGUCUCCUGAGUAGGAUGGAGCAGGUAAAUGCUUUUCUCCAGAAUGAAAAAGGAAAAAUUGAGCUGCGGAUGGUGAAAUGAAAGAACAAGAAGAAUGAAUGAAAAUCAGAUAGGAGUUAUAUCAAGCUGUCACAGAAAAUGAAAAAAAAAA